GUGGGGAAUCUUCCGCAAUGGACGAAAGUCUGACGGAGCAACGCCGCGUGAGUGAUGACGGCCUUCGGGUUGUAAAGCUCUGUGAUCGGGGACGAAUGGCUGGUAUGCUAAUACCAUAUCAGAGUGACGGUACCCGAAUAGCAAGCCACGGCUAACUACGUGCCAGCAGCCGCGGUAAUACGUAGGUGGCAAGCGUUGUCCGGAAUUAUUGGGCGUAAAGCGCGCGCAGGCGGCUUCUUAAGUCCAUCUUAAAAGUGCGGGGCUUAACCCCGUGAUGGGAUGGAAACUGGGAGGCUGGAGUAUCGGAGAGGAAAGUGGAAUUCCUAGUGUAGCGGUGAAAUGCGUAGAGAUUAGGAAGAACGCCGGUGGCGAAGGCGACUUUCUGGACGAUGUCUGACGCUGAGGCGCGAAAGCUAGGGGAGCGAACGGGAUUAGAAACCCCUGUAGUCC
rnacentral:rRNA from 1 species